AUGGACUUGAUGAAACUCCCUCAACGUCAACCUCUGGGGCCAAAGCCAAGCCAUCAAAACCUGUGGUCAAACAUCCUGUUCCUCUUGUGUCCUCCAGUCUCUCUCGACUCAAGAGGAGGAUGUGAGAGCAGGACCCCACCUGUGCUGCUGCAACGCUGCUUGUGUAACAGAGGAUUCAUUCUACUCCUUCAACAAGAUGAUCUGUACUUCCAUGCCCUAUUUUAUCAGUAUGUCUGGGGUCGCAGUGUGCCGCAGUGA
ensembl:lncRNA